AUUUUAUAGUUAUAGAUUUCUAUUAAUUUUUAAUAAAUGGAUAUUAGCUAACUAUUUAGCUGGGGCGGCGUGAAUAUAAAUUAUCUGUUCGAAUAUUUGUUGUAAUCUUAUUAAAUUUAGAUCCUUGCAGUGUGAAUCGAGAUUAAAUU
rnacentral:rRNA from 1 species